AGAGUUUGAUCCUGGCUCAGAGCGAACGCUGGCGCCAGGCCUAACACAUGCAAGUCGAACGGACCCUUCGGGGUUAGUGGCGGACGGGUGAGUAACACGUGGGAACGUGCCUUUAGGUUCGGAAUAGCUCCUGGAAACGGGUGGUAAUACCGGAUACGCCCUUACGGGGAAAGGUUUACUGCCGAAGGAUCGGCCCGCGUCUGAUUAGCUAGUUGGUGGGGUAACGGCCUACCAAGGCGACGAUCAGUAGCUGGUCUGAGAGGAUGAUCAGCCACACUGGGACUGAGACACGGCCCAGACUCCUACGGGAGGCAGCAGUGGGGAAUAUUGGACAAUGGGCGAAAGCCUGAUCCAGCCAUGCCGCGUGAGUGAUGAAGGCCUUAGGGUUGUAAAGCUCUUUCGACGGGGACGAUAAUGACGGUACCCGUAGAAGAAGCCCCGGCUAACUUCGUGCCAGCGGCCGCGGUAAUACGAAGGGGGCUAGCGUUGCUCGGAAUCACUGGGCGUUAAGGGCGCGUAAGCGGGCCGAUCAAGUCAGAAGUGAAAAGCCCAAGGCUCAACCUUGGAAUUUGNCUUUGAUACUGGUUCCGGCUUAAAAAACCGAAGAAGGUUAGUGGAAACUGCNAAAUGUAAAAGUNAA
rnacentral:rRNA from 1 species